rnacentral:misc_RNA from 1 species
GAUGAAGAACGUAGCGAAAUGCGAUAAGUAAUGUGAAUUGCAGAAUUCAGUGAAUCAUCGAAUCUUUGAACGCACCUUGCACCCUUUGGUAUUCCGAAGGGUAUGCUCGUUUGAGUGUCAUUGUACUCUCACACUUCCGAUCGUUUGGAUCGGGAGCGGUGGACUUGGGUGUUGCUGCUUUACUGUGGCUCACCUUAAAUGCAUUAGUGCACCUUUCGGUUGGACAUAGUACGGCGUGAUAAGUGUCUUCGCCGGCACCUCACAGAGGGUGGCUGAUCGGGAGCUCUGUGCUUCAAACCGUCCUCGGACAACAGCUGAUAACUUGACCUCAAAUCGAGUAGGACUACCCGCUGAACUUAAGCAUAUCAAUAAGCGGAGGA